GUACGCGGCGAGCGGCUCUCUGGCUGUACUGACGCUGAGGCGCGAAAGCGUGGGGAGCGAACAGGAUUAGAUACCCUGGUAGUCCACGCCGUAAACGUUGAGUGCUAGGUGUUAGGGGUUUCGACGCCCUUAGUGCCGAAGCAAACGCAUUAAGCACUCCGCCUGGGGAGUACGACCGCAAGGUUGAAACUCAAAGGAAUUGACGGGGGCCCGCACAAGCGGUGGAGCAUGUGGUUUAAUUCGACGCAACGCGAAGAACCUUACCAGGUCUUGACAUCUUCUGAUCGCUCCAGAGAUGGAGUUUUCCCCUUCGGGGGACAGAAUGACAGGUGGUGCAUGGUUGUCGUCAGCUCGUGUCGUGAGAUGUUGGGUUAAGUCCCGCAACGAGCGCAACCCUUAACCUUAGUUGCCAGCAUUGAGUUGGGCACUCUAGGGUGACUGCCGGUGACA
rnacentral:rRNA from 1 species